rnacentral:lncRNA from 1 species
GCUCCAAUGUCUUCAGCAACGAAAUUGUAAAUAUUUUAUUUUUUUUGAGCGAUGAUCUUGUCUCCCCGAUUUUCUAGAGAAAAGUCCAUUUUGAACCCUAAACUUGUAGAACUUGUCUGAAUCAAACCCUAACCUUCUAAUCCCGGGUUUUCAGCCCCUGACCUAUCUAAUCCCGGUCAAUUUAAACCUUAGCCCGAAAUUUCCUAUCUGGCUAGGUUGGGAUAAUGAUAUGUCUUAGGAUCUGGUGAGUG